rnacentral:lncRNA from 1 species
GGGGGGGGCUGGCGGCCAUUUUGUCGGUUGCUGAGGUGCUGGGGAUGGGCACAUCCCUUUCACCACAGAGAGCAUCUUGCAGCUUCUCACCACCCAAAUCCUGCCGGUUGUGCCCAAUAUUGGGAAAAAACAGUUAGAGAAUGCAUCUGUGAAGAUACCACUGCAAGAGGUUUUUUUUUUUUUUUUAGAUUAAUAAAGAUGCAUGAAGAGGAGGUCAUGUGGUUAAACCGGCUUAAUACCGAGGCUACAACUGUCAUGAAGUCCCAGCUAUAUGAAGGGAGACUGGAAGUUCAAAUGGUGUUAGUGCAUACUUCUCUUCUUGGUUUCCAGUUUCAAGUUCAAAGUGACUACUUAAAGUGGUGGAGAGGUUGA